rnacentral:rRNA from 1 species
UACGUAGGGGGCAAGCGUUGUCCGGAAUCAUUGGGCGUAAAGCGCGUGUAGGCGGCUUGGUAAGUCUGCUCUGAAAGCCCGGGGCUCAACCCCGGGAGGCGGGUGGAUACUGUCAAGCUCGAGUCCGGAAGAGGAGUGUGGAAUUCCCAGUGUAGAGGUGAAAUUCGUAGAUAUUGGGAAGAACACCGGUGGCGAAGGCGGGUCUCUGGGCAACAACUGACGCUGAGGAGCGAAAGCGUGGGGAGCGAACAGG